rnacentral:lncRNA from 1 species
GUCAGUUAUCAGCAGUUUUAUGUUCUCCCCUUUUUCCUCCCAUGUCCCAGGUAACCUCCAUCCUCAAUUUUAUGGUCUCCUCUUUUUACUCCCUACGUCACAGAUCCACCUAUAGAUGAACAAAUGGAUGUUUCUAUGAAUCAAACUCUCAAAAAGAUUGAUAGCUUUACUCAGCAGGUAAUCAUAUCCAGGUAAUCACAACCCGAUGACAUUGAGGAGAUUCUCUAUGGUUGCAAGAGUUCGAGACGUGAUUUCAUCCACAUGUGUUAUCGAUCAAUUUUGUGUUUAUCUGCAUCUCUAGGAUGUUUAGGGUCGAAACACUGUCAAUUCUGCAUUUUUUUGGCAAUUCUUGCAGAUGAUUCUGUAACAAUAGCCUUAUAUUAUGGGUUCAAGAAGCAAAUCCACGACGAUGUCUAAAAAGGUAAAGGAAAUUGGGAUAAUUCAAGACCCACUCUGCAAAACAUACCCUACCAUCGCUACAUAAUGGAAGAAGAACACGAGAUUGGUAUUUGGGGGAUUCUAAUUUCUGGUCUAAUUGGAGCUACUGCCACUACUCUUACUAUGUGUAUCAAGCACAAAUACAGUUACAAUUUUGCCCCUUCCACUGAUUUGGUUAAAGAAAUGCAGAUGUUUUCAAGGCAUUGAUUCUCUCUGUGGCAACAUGUUUAAAUAAUGCAUCAGGUCCUCGAAAGGAACACUUAGUGGUUCAGGUGGAACACUUAGUGGUUCAGGUGCUGGGCUCAUAGUGUUGUCUUCACAAUUGGCCAGAUAAGAAGCUCUGCACACUUGAAUUUGAGACACGGCGUGCUUCAUAUUACUGGUUACUAGAUGCACUGGGUCUUUACCAGCCUUACGUAUGGGAGUAUUCACGUUUGAAUAUAACCAACACUGCGAUGUCAAAAGUUGAACCGACUAGUGAUCGAGAACUAUGUGGAUGGAUGGGAUGAUCCACGUUUGAUGACACUAGCGGGUUUGAGGCGUAGGGGUGUCACUUCUACAGCAAUAAAUGCUUUUGUUAGAGGAAUUGGGAUUACCACAAGUGAUAGUAGUAUGAUACGUUUGGAGCGCCUUGAAUAUCAUGUACGGGAAGAACUUAAUAAAACAGCUUCUCUUGCGAUGGUUGUGCUACAUCCACUAAAGGUAGUUAUUACCAAUCUUGAACCAAGUUCAAUAAUAGAUCUUGAUGCAAAGAAAUGGCCAGAUGCCCCUGUUGAUGAUGCAUCUUCAUACUACAAGCUUCACUGUCAUAGGAGGUGUUGCUAAUGACAAUCGUGUAGCUUUUAACUUUUCUUCAUCUUCACAUGAAAGACACAGGGGGAGGAAGGUGAUCCUGCUUCUAAGCAACUUCAUAGUUGUGAUUGUGAGUCAGUUGGGUCUAAUGUGUGUGUAGUUUGCGGGGUGUGGGGGACUUGGGUUGACAUGUGGCGGAGGUGGGCUCCACAUUGUGUGGCUUGGCUGGGCGUGGCUUUUUUUUUGGGUGUGGGGUGGCCUGGCGUGGCUUUUUUUGGGUCAAAUAUGCCCAGCCAGUCCUAGCCAUCCACGUCAUCUCCUCCCCUGCCCCACGUCGGGCUUCAUAGCCACGCCAGCGGGCAACACCGCAACCCACGCUGACCCGAUGUGGCUGAACCGGCGUUGCUUGGCUUCCCCGCCCCAACCCACGCCCCACGGUCUAAGUAGUGGUCAUUUAGUUUUUUGUUAGUUUUUGGCGAAAGUCAGUUUUACUUUUAUCCGCCGACAUUUUAAGGCUAAUGGUGAAUAUUAUAU